rnacentral:rRNA from 1 species
UGCUCCAUGACUCUAAAUAGCCGCAGAUCAACUGUGCUAAGGUAGCAUAAUCAUUAGCCCCCUAAUUAGGGGAUAGAAUGAAUGGCAUCACGAGAGGUCCUCUGUCUCCAUUAAGCCAAACCAAUCUCACCUAGAAGUAAAAAGGCUUCUAUCAAUAAACAAGACGACAAGACCCUGUCAAACUUAACCAAUAGUUAGACUGGGGCGGUCCAACAAAAAAACCUUUCUCCCAUUCACCCACCAACCCAAACACCUUGAACAAGAAUCAAGUUACUGCAGGGAUAACAGCGCAAUACUUUUUUAGAGUCCCUAUCCUAAAAAGACCUUACGACCUCGAUGUUGAAUAAGAACCUCCCUAAACGCAAGAGUUAGGAAAGAAAGUCUGUUCGACUUAUAAACACUUACA